CAGAGUUAACAAACUCCUAACCCAUGUGAACUUACCACUGUUGCCUCGGCGGCGCCUGCCCCCCCGGGGUGUCGGGACCGCCGGCGGAAUAAUAAACGCUUUUGAAUAUUAGCACUUCUGAGUUAAAAUCAUAAUAAGUUA
rnacentral:misc_RNA from 1 species